AUAGACGUUUACAGUGAUGCUCCAUCUUUUCUUAACUUUUGUAAACAUCCAGCUAUAUCAUAAAUAAUAGACGUUUAUACUUUGUAUUAUGAUAUCUUUGAGUUCCAUUGGAAUUUCAUUGAAAUUUUAUGAAAUGCUCAGAAGUGACAGAGCUGUUAUAAGCCAUUAACCCAUAGGCCGUGAGAUGUUGGAAAGAUUGAGCGAUUCUUUCACUGCAGCCAUUUCUCUUUGUUUUCGUAAAGCAUUCUUAG